rnacentral:lncRNA from 1 species
GUAAAUGGGGUAGCCAUUACCUCAAGCAUUUAUCCUUUCUUUGUAUCACAAACAAUCCAAUUAUACUACUCUUCUACUUAUUUUAAUUGUACAAUAAAUUAUUAUGGACUAUAGCCUCUCUAUUCUGCUGUCAAAUACUAGCUCCUAUUCAUUCUAUCUAAAUAUAUUUAUGUACUCAUUAACCAUCCCCAUUCCCCAAUCUCCAUUACACUUCCAAGCAUUGGGUUCCAUCCUUCUACAGUCCAUCCAUGAAUUCAAUUGUUUUAAUUUUUAGCUCUUUUGGGUAAAAGCCAUUUUUAACUAGGGUAGGAUAAUAUCUGAUUGUAGUUUUGAUUUUCAUUUCCCUGUUGAUCAAUGUUAUUGAGUACAUUUUCAUAUACAUGUUUGCCAUUUAUAUCUCUUCUUUUGAGAAAUGUCUAUUCAAAUAUUUUGCCCAUUUUUAAAUUGAAUUAUUAAACUUUUUCCUAUAGAGUUGUUUGAGCUCCUUAUAUAACCUGGUUAUUAGUCCCUUGUCAGAUGGGUAGCUUGCAAAAAUAUUUUCUCCCAUUAUAUCAUUUCUAUUUCUCUGCAUAUAGAUAUCCAGUUUUCCCAGCACCAUUUAUUUAAGAGGCUAGCCUUUUUCCAAUGUAUGUUGUAAUGGUAUUGUUUGGCUCUGUGUCCCCACCCAAAUCUCAUCUUGAAUUGUACUCCCAUAAUUCCCAUGUGUUGUAGGAGGGACUUGGUGGGAGAUAAC